rnacentral:sRNA from 2 species
ACGAGGAACGAAAUAAGCGGCUGUGCACCACAUAUCUCAACAUCCUUUUACCGUCGGGAAUAUAGCUCUCUACGCAGUACAUCGUACAAAGUAAAUUGCCUAUUGUGCAUUGGGUUUGGUCACAUAUUUCGCUCUUUUCUGGAGCGGACAGGCCUUUUGAAGAGUUUGCGGUUUCACACUUGGGUGAUUGCCCGAGCACGAAAUUUCCCAACCACUCCCUGUGAAAUGAAGUUUGAGUUACUGGUCAAAAAGACUCUUUCCCAUGGAGAGCUUCCCUCAAUAUACAUAUCAACCUCUUCCAGCCAUUGCCUCAGUCGGAAAGACUCCUCCUUUUACCCGCCUUCUUCUCCUGAGCUCGGGUCAACCUAACGACCCACUCCAUGGAAGUCUGUUAACCUAUGCGUUGGAUCCGGAUUUCGCGCCUAUACCGCCUUACGAAGCUCUUUCUUACGUUUGGGGCACGGAGGCAGAACAAGUUUCCAUCCACGUCGAUGGACGACCAAUUGCCAUAAAGCCAAACUUGGACUCAGCUCUCCGUAGCCUCAGGCUGCCAACGCAAGCGAGAAGAGUUUGGGUGGAUGCACUCUGCAUAGAUCAGUCAAAUAUAGAAGAACGG